CCGAGAACUAAGACACUUUUUGGAGAAGUCACUUCUAGGCGGCGCCUGCGCAUUAGGCGCAAGCGCCUGCGCACUGCGGCGCCUGAAGCUGCUGCCUUUGCCCUUACCUCAGCUGUUGCGGGCUCUUCCAGCGUGCGGGGUCGCGGCGUGGCGUGUCAGGCAGGGGCUUGCGGUGGUAGCAGAGCGUGGAAGACCGUCGGCGGCGUCGGGAAGCUUCUCUCUGCGGGUUCGUGGGGGCAUUCUAACAGAGAUGAGCCUUGGUUCCAAGCAUUCGGAUGUGGAUACCAUGAAGGGAUAGCAUUCUACCUGCCACAGAUAAUUACCAGAAACAUUAAGCGGAGAACAGCAUUUCUAAAUACCCCUUUAAAAGAAGAAGAUGAAAGAAAAGAAAGAAAGAAAGAAGAAAGAAAACUACAGUGUUCUGUUUAAAGAGAGGAAAAAAAAGAGAUAAUACAAUGUGACCCACUUGAUAUCAAAGAAGGCAAUUACCUGAGAAGGUGGUAUGGUUCAGUGGUCUUGGUAACGUCUGAAAAAGUCCAAGGCUACUGGAUCUUUUCCCUGUUCUUAUGAUGUCUUGCUGUGUGACCCAGGGCAAGUCACUUGACCUUAGUUUCCUCAUCUGAAAACACAAGACCCCAGGAGUUGUGCUUGAUUACCUGACUAAUAUCAAGCUACAGGAAUUAAAUGAAGAAUGGAAUUUCAUUUUGGGCUUCAUCACUACUGUGGCGAUGACAGAUGGGAAUCGUAUGAAUGAGGUUAGCCCCUGCGCUUCAUUAACUGAUGGAAAAAAAGUCUGAAUGACAUGGAUGGUAAACUAAACUUUGAAAACCCUGGAAGAGAUCUUAAUUUCGAUAUUAUACAGAUGAGCAUGCGGCAAAGAUUUAUUUUUAUUUUGGUAUUAUGAAAAAUCAAUUGUGAUAUUAUCCUGUGUUUCAUUAAUCUAGUUACUCCAGAACUGGCCCCUGGGAAAAUCAUGUACUAGGUUAAGUCAGUAUCUCUUCUUCCUGUACUUAAUUUUUAGAGAGGAGAUAAUCUUUUUAUUAAUAUUGGCAAAUAGUUUUUUUGUAAGUGAGAACAAUAUGUAUGUCAGUCCAAAUUACUUUUCUCCCUGUGUCCUUUCUUUCCUAUUGUAAAAUAAAUUUAAUCUGAAUAUUUAUACUUGUCACAAAAUAUUAUUUUCUCUGGGUAACUAAGCUGGCAUUUCCUAAACCUGGCACCUAAUGUUAAAUGCUUAGCUCCAUGCUAUUUUCAAUAAAAUCUUUUUUUUCCCA